ensembl:lncRNA LINC02146 long intergenic non-protein coding RNA 2146
ACUCCUUCACUUAUCACCAUAAAUAGCCAGAGGACAAUUCUGUACUGGAAACCCAUUAUGAGAAUCUGCCUUCUAGGAAUCCACUUCUAAUACCACUUGUCUUUGUUUUGAUUUACCCAAAAUCAACCUUGAGAUGGGAAUUCAAGUAUCAGUGGUUUAUUGGAAGGUGAUAUGGAUGGUGACAUUGCAAUGAUCUUUCCUCUUGCUUACUUCAAUGAACUUGAAAAUAUGGUUGCAUUUUAAAAGGCCUAAUGGGAAGUCUGAGGAGCCUUGUCUGAAAAACCUAAAAGACCAUGGGGAGAAGUUUCCAUCUAUUGACAUUUGAGUCUCCCCUUGCACAGUCAGCACUGCAUAAAGUCAUCAAGUUUGGUAGGUCAGAAGUCCCAGUGUGCUCAGCUGGCCCUCUCCUUCAGGUUCAAGACUAAACCAAACUAUUGGCUGUGCUUCAUACCUUUCUGGAGGCCCUGAGGAGGAAUGUGCUUCCAAGCCUAUUCAAGUUUGUGUCCACUUGAAUUUAUUUGUGGUUCUAAGACUGAGGUGUCUGUUUUCUUGCUGGCUGUCAGUUAGCGUGGAGGUGGGGGUACCCCUAAGUCCUAGAGGUAUCUGUCUAGUGACAUGUGGUGGUGCUUCCACUGUUCUUUCUCUCAGCCUGUAUAACUGCUUGCAUUUUUUCCCAUUGUUGCUGCAACAAACAUCACAAAUGUAAUGGUUUAAAAAAUAUACAUAUUAUUUUACAGUUGUCUUGGUUAAGAGUCCAACAUGGAUAUUACUGGCCUAAAGUCAACAUGUUGGCCUGGCUGCCAUUUCCUCUAGCAGCUCCCAAAGAGCAUCCAUUUCCCUGUCUUUUCCAUCUUUUUGAACCCACCUGCAAUCCUUGGCUCAUGCUCUCCUUCCUCCAUCUUUGAAAGCCAACAGUGAGUGUCAGGAGGAGUCCUGCCCACAUCACAUUACUCCUACCUUCUCUCCUGCCUCCCUCUUUCACUUUUAAGGAUCCUGUGAUGGCACUGGUCCCACUGAGAUAAUCCAGGAUAAACCUAUUUUGAAGUCAGCUGAUUAGCAACCUAAUAUGAUCUGUAAUCUUAUUCCCCUAAAGUAACCUAACAUUCACAAAUUCUAGGAGAUUAGGAUUAUGGGCGAUUUGGGGAGACCAUUAUUCAGCCCACCACAGUCUCUAUUCAGUCCAUUCUUUUAUUAUUUGUAUGUAAUGAAUAAAUGACAACCUAGCA